UACGUAGGCAGCAAGCGUUGUUCGGAAUUACUGGGCGUAAAGCGUGUGUAGGCUGCCCUGCAAGUCGGAUGUGAAAGCCCUGGGCUCAACCUGGGAAGUGCAUUCGAAACUGCGGGGCUGGAGUCCUGGAGAGGAAGGCGGAAUUCUCGGUGUAGAGGUGAAAUUCGUAGAUAUCGAGAGGAACACCGGUGGCGAAGGCGGCCUUCUGGACAGUGACUGACGCUGAGACGCGAAAGCGUGGGGAGCAAACAGG
rnacentral:rRNA from 1 species